CCUACGGGUGGCUUCAGUGAGGAAUAUUGGGCAAUGGGCGCGAGCCUGAACCAGCCAAGUCGCGUGAGGGAAGACGGUCCUAUGGAUUGUAAACCUCUUUUGUCGGGGAGCAAAAGACGCCACGCGUGGCGUUCCGAGAGUACCCGAAGAAAAAGCAUCGGCUAAAUCCGUGCCAGCAGCCGCGGUAAUACGGAGGAUGCGAGCGUUAUCCGGAUUUAUUGGGUUUAAAGGGUGCGCAGGCGGAAGAUCAAGUCAGCGGUAAAAUUGAGAGGCUCAACCUCUUCGAGCCGUUGAAACUGGGUUUCUUGAGUGAGCGAGAAGUAUGCGGAAUGCGUAGUGUAGCGGUGAAAUGCAUAGAUAUCACGCAGAACCCCGAUUGCGAAGGCAGCAUGCCGGCUUCCGACUGACGCUGAAGCACGAAAGCGUGGGGAUCGAACAGGAUUAGAUACCCCAGUAGUC
rnacentral:rRNA from 1 species